rnacentral:ncRNA from 2 species
UAAUAAAAAAUGUUUGGUCUUAGCUUAAGAUUAAUAUCUAUCAAUCUUGUGACACAUUGGUACUUUAUGGGUAAUGGGAGUAUGAGAUUUGAAUGUUAAAAUUUAAUAUUUUAUUUGGUGAAAAUCUAUGAUUUUAGCUAUUAGAUUCAUAUUUAAAAUGGCUAAUGUAUUUUCCCGGCACCAGUGGAGAAUAUUACAUAAAUUCAGGUAUGAAGAUGUUGGUUAGAUGGUAUUAGGAGGGCAAGCACAGUGCCAGCACCUGCGGUUAAACUGACUUCUAAAAUUAAUCUUUUCGUAGAAAAGAAAUGGUUUAAUUUUGUACUAACGCUUGUGGGAUGUCUUGUAAAAUGGUUUACACAGGUGAGUAAGGAGUUCAAAAAACUAGAGGCUUAAAAGUCUGUUUAGAAGACCGGGAUUAGAGACCCCGUUAUUAAUGAUGUAUUUUUAUCUGCGGUAAGUACGAGCAGUAGAGGCUUAAAAACCAAAAGACUUGGCGGUGUGCUAUAUUCGUUCAGGGGAACUUGACGGUUAAAUCGAUAUUCCUCGAAUACCUUACCUUUUUAAAGCUUGCUAUACCGCCGUUGCCAGUUAAAAUUUUAAAAUAAAAGAAUUUUACGAGAAAAGUAGUGAAUCAUCUACUUUAAAAUUCAGGUAAACGUAGUGGUCAUAAAAAGGGCUUAGUUGAGUUACAUUAUACUUUUAUGGGAAAAAAGCUGUAAUGCUUUUGGAACUUGGACUUGACAGUAAGUUUUUACUCACCAAGGAAGACUGAAUUGUACAAUGGUGCGUGUACAAAUUGCCCGGUGCCCCCAGAUAUUUAAGCUGGGGUAAGCCGUAACAUGGUAACUCUACUAGAAAGUGGUGUUAUUUACAACA